rnacentral:lncRNA from 1 species
CGUUAAUACUAACUGCCAAAUACGGGUGGCAGUUUGUACCUAACGGCUAAUAGUUAAAUGCGAUAAUAUCAUUAAUAAACAUGAUAAUAUAAAAAAUUAAUUAAUAAUUCUCACCUGUAAAGCCCAGCAUAGCUGAAAUGUCUCGCCAGGCCUGGUUGCGCUUUGUUUGGUCGUGAUACGCCUUUAAAGGCCCACUAUGCAACUUUUUUAGCCAAAAUUACAUUAAGUAUGCAGGUUGAGAGUUAUGCUGAUGGUUCUGCAUCCAUUUCUGGGUUGAUUGGUGGGUGUGUCAUUUACCCAUGUCGCCUCUCCAGUGAAAAAGCGCAUAUGCAACUUGAUCUGUUCGGACCGACACAAUCCGGAUGUGACGCAGUGGAAGUAUCCUCAAAAAUGUAGUCAGAUUGUAGUUUCGAAAAUGCUUUACGGCACAGACACACCCCCAAACAUGGCACCGGCUAGAUAUAAACAGCCAGUUGCGAGCAUGGUUGCGAGGCAAUUGUUGUCCGAGAUCAGCCGACCAAAAAGAGACAGAGAAACCCAAUGUCGGAGGAACAGAAGAAGAGAAAAGGGAGACAGACCGACAGAGAGGCCAGACACGAGUAAACGUUGGGCAAGCUUUUCAGGAAUAGCGUGAACUGAAAGAAAAAGAAGACUGCAAAUCAGACGCCGACUCGGCCGUGUUGCUUUUGAAAUUGAAAGUACCCUUGGGUGAACUUUUUCUGCGUAAUAUUCUUGAUUCUGAUAGUCUCUGUACACAUGUGUUUGCUCAACCAUUUUUUUGAGCCUUGUAAAAAUUGUUUUCUCAACCGUUUUGUUGUGAGCCCUGUUUGUUUCUAGCUUGCUUGGUUGCAACCAUAUAAACACCUUUGUUUCCAUGGGUGUUUUGCUGUUCGUAUGUCUCGUCCCCCAGAUACAGACUGAAUCCCCGAAUCCAGGUUCUUGUUUAUUUCGAUUAUUAUGUUGGCCAAACCUCUUACACUGAUUGUUCUGUUCAACCUAAGAUAAAAUAAUUAUAACCUAGGGUAUAAAUUCUCCCCGUCAACUAUAAAAAAUGAUGGAUUUAUGUUUAUUGCAAUGCAAAUACACCAUUUUAAAAAUGUAUAACCUUGCCUACACUUUAUGAACAUCUAUUUCGGACAUGGCUCCGCGCAUUCGCCGGCUUCUUUGAAAACAAAUGCACAUGGCUCGCGUAGAAGAGCAUGGGGAAGGGACGUCAACGAGUUGUUACGACAGUGUUGUGAAAUAUCUACUACGAAGCUUUAGGGGGCGCUGUGUAGAGAAAUGUGCGUGCCAAAACCAAGAAAACAGCGAAGAAAUGCCCGAAGUUGCAUAGUGGGCCUUUAAAAACGCUUUUGGUGGACACGGGCCCUUAGACAGGUGAGGAAGCCGGAGCCAAUACGUCACAUAGGCCACGCCUACUUGAUACAAUCCAGAGCUGGAGUCAGAUUUGAGGUC